rnacentral:rRNA from 1 species
CCUACGGGUGGCAGCAGUGAGGAAUAUUGGUCAAUGGGCGUAAGCCUGAACCAGCCAAGUCGCGUGAGGGAUGAAGGUUCUAUGGAUCGUAAACCUCUUUUAUAAGGGAAUAAAGUGCGGGACGUGUCCCGUUUUGUAUGUACCUUAUGAAUAAGCAUCGGCUAACUCCGUGCCAGCAGCCGCGGUAAUACGGAGGAUCCGGGCGUUAUCCGGAUUUAUUGGGUUUAAAGGGGGCGUAGGCGGCCUGUUAAGUCAGCGGUGCAAUUCUGUGGAUCAACCACAGAACUGCCGUUGAAACUGGGAGGUGUGAGUAUGUGUGAGGCAGGCGGAAUGCGUGGUGUAGCGGUGAAAUGCUUAGAUAUCACGCAGAACCCCGAUUGCGAAGGCAGCCUGCCAAGCCAUGACUGACGCUGAUGCACGAAAGCGUGGGGAUCAAACAGGAUUAGAUACCCUGGUAGUC